rnacentral:rRNA from 1 species
AGCGAACGCGGGCGGCAGGCCUAACACAUGCAAGUCGAACGAGGUCUUCGGACCUAGUGGCGGACGGGUGAGUAACACGUGGGAACGUGCCCUUUGGUACAGAAUAACUCAGGGAAACUUGAGCUAAUACCGUAUGUGCCCUUCGGGGGAAAGAGUUAUCGCCAUUGGAGCGGCCCGCGUCUGAUUAGCUAGUUGGUGAGGUAAAGGCUCACCAAGGCGACGAUCAGUAGCUGGUCUGAGAGGAUGACCAGCCACAUUGGGACUGAGACACGGCCCAGACUCCUACGGGAGGCAGCAGUGGGGAAUCUUGCGCAAUGGGCGAAAGCCUGACGCAGCCAUGCCGCGUGGAUGAUGAAGGUCUUAGGAUUGUAAAAUCCUUUCACCGGUGAAGAUAAUGACUGUAGCCGGAGAAGAAGCCCCGGCUAACUUCGUGCCAGCCGCCGCAGUAACAC